rnacentral:rRNA from 1 species
UACGUAGGGUGCAAGCGUUGUCCGGAAUUAUUGGGCGUAAAGAGCUCGUAGGCGGUUUGUCGCGUCUGCUGUGAAAACUCGGGGCUUAACUCCGGGCCUGCAGUGGGUACGGGCAGACUAGAGUGCGGUAGGGGAGACUGGAAUUCCUGGUGUAGCGGUGAAAUGCGCAGAUAUCAGGAGGAACACCGGUGGCGAAGGCGGGUCUCUGGGCCGUAACUGACGCUGAGGAGCGAAAGCGUGGGGAGCAACAGG